rnacentral:rRNA from 1 species
AUUCACGUGUAGCAGUGAAAUGCGUAGAGAUGUGGAGGAAUACCGAUGGCGAAGGCAGCCCCCUGGGAUAACACUGACGCUCAUGCACGAAAGCGUGGGGAACAAACAGGAUUAGAUACCCUGGUAGUCCACGCCCUAACGAUGUCAACUAGUUGUUGGGGAUUCACUUCCUUAGUAACGUAGCUAACGCGUGAAGUUGACCGCCUGGGGAGUACGGUCGCAAGAUUAAAACUCAAAGGAAUUGACGGGGACCCGCACAAGCGGUGGAUGAUGUGGAUUAAUUCGAUGCAACGCGAAAAACCUUACCUACCCUUGACAUGCCACUAACGAAGCAGAGAUGCAUUAGGUGCUCGAAAGAGAAAGUGGACACAGGUGCUGCAUGGCUGUCGUCAGCU